GACAGAGGGUGCAAACGUUGCUCGGAAUUACUGGGCGUAAAGCGCGUGUAGGCUGACCGGAAAGUCGGGCGUGAAAGCCCCAGGCUCAACCUGGGAAGUGCGCGCGAAACUGGCAUUCUUGAGUGCUGGAGAGGGUGGCGGAAUUCCCGGUGUAGAGGUGAAAUUCGUAGAUAUCGGGAGGAACACCAGAGGCGAAGGCGGCCACCUGGACAGACACUGACGCUGAGACGCGAAAGCGUGGGGAGCAAACAGG
rnacentral:rRNA from 1 species